UUGCUUACAAAAAUUUCUAGUUCGAGAGGAAAAAAAAAAAAAGAAAAAAGUGACCUACAAAUCUGAUCAAAGUCAAAUCCAAACACAAAAGUGGAUCAGUCAUUGAUAUAUCCUUAUUUUCUCUCCCUGCAGGACCCCCCUGACCACGCCCCUCGUGCCGCCCAUCGCCCCGCCCCCGGCCUACGACACGCCUACGUCCUCCCUGGCCCCUGACAUGCGGGCGGUGGUGCCCAUGGUGGCGGAGACCGUCUGCAUCACACCCAACGCCCCCGCCCUUCACCCCCAUUGUGUGCGUGCGGUUCAUGACCAAGAAACAAUGAACACUCUCGAGUCCUUCAAACGACACACCGAAUAGAAAUCUCGAAUAUACGCUCAAGCUCAAGUGGGGGCGUCGGCCGAACGGAUCAGCGCGCCCGCGCCCUUGCGGCCAGCACGGCGCACCCCCGCCCCCCAGCCUAGCGGGGUGGCGCUCCCGGCGUCCCAUCCCACCUCCAGGACUCCUGCUGAUGAUGCUGUCGACUUGAAAACUAAGAUCCCGUCAGAAAGUUCUGACAACAUGAAAAUUGUUAUUCACAAGUUUUGGUUGAUAUUCGGAUUAUUCCGCAUUACUUUACUCCUUGUGUUUGAAAGUGUCGGUUUAGUGUCCUCUCUACGUUCACAUGUUCUGUGCUACACAUUUAUUUAGCCUUUAAGGUCAUUAGUGUUGUCACUGUAUCGUUCCUUGAGCCUUGGGUACAGGGUGAUCAAAAAGACUUUAGUCAAAAGUUACGUUUCAGAAUAGCACAGUCAGCGGGAGCCUCUCGGAGGCUUUCCGAGGCUGGGCCCCGCCGCGCAUGCCCCUGGGGCUGAGCGGUGGGGGCCGCUGCCUCGGGGCCGCACGCCCCCCGGGGUGGGUCAUUAAUACACCAGGGGGUACUCAAUGCUCAACACUCAGUAUGUGUUAUUCCUACGAGGACUUAGGUAACUAUUUGGAUACGCGUUAAUUUAUUUGUGUGCAGUUAUAAAAUUGCUCUCGAAAGGAUUAGUUAGCUUUAAUGUGUACGGAUCGCGCGGCGGCUCGUUCGUGCUCGUGUAUCUUGUGAAUCACUACGGACCAACACGAGCGUGGGAACGUACGGCUGCUUCCUCUGGAAAGUUUUGUUUGUCUACACAUUGUGUGAUGUUGCUUUUUAUGUCUGCUCUUGCUUCUCUGACCACAUACAUACUAGGGACACCUUCGCUUGCUCUACUUAGAGAGUCUCGCACUCUCCUACACCGGGCCGCGGCGCACCCCUCCUCAAGGGGGCUGACACAAUACCCGCGUGACGCGCGUCGUGGAGGCACACACUCAUUGCGGGAGUCAAGUCAAGGUUGGAUCUGUUGGGUUUCUCUGAAUGGCUGUAAAUAUCGCGGUUUUUCUUUGAGUAGCCUCAAGGGCAAAUCGGGUUAAGAUGCGAAUAAAUUUUCGCUUUCCAGUGAAACGCUGCUUUGCUGUGGUGUGAACGAAAGCUUGAGGUAGUGUGUUUAGCGUGGAAAGCAAGGUAGAGGCGUGUCAGUCAAGUUCCUGCGGAGAGAUUUCACUCGCUUUAGAGUACUAUUUGUUUCCACGCCGAGGUGGGAGGCGUUCCUACUUAGCCGUCUGACGAAGGUCACGCUUGUACAUUUGUAUAUACGUGUGUGUGUGUGUGUGUGUGUGUGUGUGUGUGUGUGUGUGUUUACGUGUGUGUGCGUGUGUGUGUGUGUGUGUGUGUUUGGGAAAAAAUAAUAAUUAUACACAUGAUUAAGUUUGUAAUGAGCUUAAAACAAUUAAUACAAAGAUGAGAGAGAGAGAGAGAGAGAGAGAGAGAGAGAGAGAGAGAGAGAGAGAGAGAGAGAGAGAGAGAAUAAGAGUGAGAGAGGAAACCAACGUUCGCUUGAAACAAAGGUCGAGAGUCAUUCCAUCCACCCCCGAUGGUCCGCCGCGACUCACCAACACAAGGCCGGGGCGGCGAGCACCUGCACUCCCCUCCCCCUACCCACUCCCUUCCACCUCGACCUCUUUCCUCUGCCACAGGUUCGUGUCGAGGCUUCAUUUCCGAGGUUCGUUCCGCUUUCCUUAGAUGAACUCCGAUGGUUCGUUAACGUAGGUCACUCGCGAACGUGUGUGUUUGUGUGUGUGUGUGUGUGUGUGUGUGUGUGUGUUUCACCAACGACGAUGCUUUCACAUUAGUAAGUAACGAACGCCAAGUUAAUGAUGACGAUGAUGAUGAUGAUGAUGAUGACGAUGGUGAUUCUCUCUGUUGCCGUGUCGGGGUCGCCAGGGGAGAGUGCGGUAUCCGGCGCCUCGGCAAGUCAAGACACUCCUACCAGACAACGGCUCAACGUGUCAAUCAAACCUUCACAUAUGUACAUUAUCCUCCACGUAGGUGAUCGCGCGUGUCGUAGUGGCCCUGUAGUGAGCUUUCCUCUGACUGGUAUAGACUCCGUGACGUGCUCUCCUUCCUAGCCGGCGUAUGAUUGGUUCACUGUUGUUAUACACUCUAGCUCGCCUCCCUCAAGACACCUCCUCUCCUCCUCCUCCUCCUCCCCCCCUUAGCAGCGUUAUGAUUGGGCCGCUGUCACCUGUUGCUGCCUUUCAACUCUCCCCUCCCUCAUAGAUGUGUUAUGAUUGGUCAGUUGUGAUCCUAGUCUCCUCUCACUUAUAUCACCAACAAUGAGGCCGAGUGGGCUGCGGCUGCUCCCCGCCCCACCGCCUCCUGCUCCCCUCGUCGUGCCCACCUUAACGAUAUCGGCUACUGACGGAGGUUUAUAGGUAAUAAAUUGCAUAGGUCGAGGCGUGUCCCGGGCUCUCCCUCCAGUGGUGUCAAGCUGACUAACGUUAGUCUCCCAGGACCCCAUCUUAAUUAUCAAUCUUUAAUUGUUGUACAAUUACAGUAUAUACUCAAUUUGAUACAUCGAUGUUUACAAUAAAGACAAAAGUAU